GUUUAAGACAGAUAGCAUUUACAGUGUUAAGACAGAUAGCAUUUACAGUGUUAAGACAGAUAGCAUUUUAAGCGUUAAGACAGAUAGCAUUUUCAGUGUUAAGACAGAUAGCCUUUUCAGUGUUAGACAAUAGCAUUGCAGUGUAAGACAGAUAGCAUUUGCAGUGUUAAGACAGAUAGCAUUUGCAGU
rnacentral:lncRNA from 1 species